rnacentral:rRNA from 1 species
AGCGAACGCUGGCGGCAGGCCUAACACAUGCAAGUCGAACGAACCUUUCGGGGUUAGUGGCGGACGGGUGAGUAACACGUGGGAACGUGCCUUUAGGUUCGGAAUAACUCAGGGAAACUUGUGCUAAUACCGAAUGUGCCCUUCGGGGGUAAGAUUUAUCGCCUUUAGAGCGGCCCGCGUCUGAUUAGCUAGUUGGUUGAGGUAAUGGCUCACCAAGGCGACGAUCAGUAGCUGGUCUGAGAGGAUGAUCAGCCACAUUGGGACUGAGACACGGCCCAAACUCCUACGGGAGGAAGCAGUGGGGAAUCUUGCGCAAUGGGCGAAAGCCUGACGCAGCCAUGCCGCGUGAAUGAUGAAGGUCUUAGGAUUGUAAAAUUCUUUCACCGGGGACGAUAAUGACGGUACCCGGAGAAGAAGCCCCGGCUAACUUCGUG